rnacentral:tRNA from 1 species
GCAUUGGUAGUUCAGUGGUAGAAAUCCCACCUCUCAUGCUGGAGAUACAGUUUGGAUUCCUGACCAAUGCA